GGGUUGUGAGGUUAAGCGACUAAGCGUACACGGUGGAUGCCCUGGCAGUCAGAGGCGAUGAAGGACGUGCUAAUCUGCGAAAAGCGUCGGUAAGGUGAUAUGAACCGUUAUAACCGGCGAUGUCCGAAUGGGGAAACCCAGUGUGAUUCGUCACACUAUCGUUAACUGAAUACAUAGGUUAACGAGGCGAACCGGGGGAACUGAAACAUCUAAGUACCCCGAGGAAAAGAAAUCAACCGAGAUUCCCCCAGUAGCGGCGAGCGAACGGGGAGCAGCCCAGAGUCUGAAUCAGCUUGUGUGUUAGUGGAACGGUCUGGAAAGUCCGACGGUACAGGGUGAUAGUCCCGUACACCAAAAUGCACAGGCUGUGAACUCGAAGAGUAGGGCGGGACACGUGGUAUCCUGUCUGAAUAUGGGGGGACCAUCCUCCAAGGCUAAAUACUCCUGACUGACCGAUAGUGAACCAGUACCGUGAGGGAAAGGCGAAAAGAACCCCGGCGAGGGGAGUGAAAAAGAACCUGAAACCGUGUACGUACAAGCAGUGGGAGCACCUUCGGGUGUGACUGCGUACCUUUUGUAUAAUGGGUCAGCGACUUAUAUUCUGUAGCAAGGUUAACCGUAUAGGGGAGCCGCAGGGAAACCGAGUCUUAACUGGGCGUUAAGUUGCAGGGUAUAGACCCGAAACCCGGUGAUCUAGCCAUGGGCAGGUUGAAGGUUGGGUAACACUAACUGGAGGACCGAACCGACUAAUGUUGAAAAAUUAGCGGAUGACUUGUGGCUGGGGGUGAAAGGCCAAUCAAACCGGGAGAUAGCUGGUUCUCCCCGAAAGCUAUUUAGGUAGCGCCUCGUGAACUCAUCUUCGGGGGUAGAGCACUGUUUCGGCUAGGGGGUCAUCCCGACUUACCAACCCGAUGCAAACUACGAAUACCGAAGAAUGUUAUCACGGGAGACACACGGCGGGUGCUAACGUCCGUCGUGAAGAGGGAAACAACCCAGACCGCCAGCUAAGGUCCCAAAGUCAUGGUUAAGUGGGAAACGAUGUGGGAAGGCACAGACAGCCAGGAUGUUGGCUUAGAAGCAGCCAUCAUUUAAAGAAAGCGUAAUAGCUCACUGGUCGAGUCGGCCUGCGCGGAAGAUGUAACGGGGCUAAACCAUGCACCGAAGCUGCGGCAGCGACACUAUGUGUUGUUGGGUAGGGGAGCGUUCUGUAAGCCUGCGAAGGUGACCUGUGAGGGUUGCUGGAGGUAUCAGAAGUGCGAAUGCUGACAUAAGUAACGAUAAAGCGGGUGAAAAGCCCGCUCGCCGGAAGACCAAGGGUUCCUGUCCAACGUUAAUCGGGGCAGGGUGAGUCGACCCCUAAGGCGAGGCCGAAAGGCGUAGUCGAUGGGAAACAGGUUAAUAUUCCUGUACUUGGUGUUACUGCGAAGGGGGGACGGAGAAGGCUAUGUUAGCCGGGGGACGGUUGUCCCGGUUUAAGCAUGUAGGCUGGUUAUCCAGGCAAAUCCGGAUAAUCAAGGCUGAGGUGUGAUGACGAGGCACUACGGUGCUGAAGUAACAAAUGCCCUGCUUCCAGGAAAAGCCUCUAAGCAUCAGGUAACAUUGAAUCGUACCCCAAACCGACACAGGUGGUCAGGUAGAGAAUACCAAGGCGCUUGAGAGAACUCGGGUGAAGGAACUAGGCAAAAUGGUGCCGUAACUUCGGGAGAAGGCACGCUGGUGUGUAGGUGAAGCCCCUGCGGGUGGAGCUGAGACCAGUCGAAGAUACCAGCUGGCUGCAACUGUUUAUUAAAAACACAGCACUGUGCAAACACGAAAGUGGACGUAUACGGUGUGACGCCUGCCCGGUGCCGGAAGGUUAAUUGAUGGGGUUAUCCGUAAGGAGAAGCUCUUGAUCGAAGCCCCGGUAAACGGCGGCCGUAACUAUAACGGUCCUAAGGUAGCGAAAUUCCUUGUCGGGUAAGUUCCGACCUGCACGAAUGGCGUAAUGAUGGCCAGGCUGUCUCCACCCGAGACUCAGUGAAAUUGAACUCGCUGUGAAGAUGCAGUGUACCCGCGGCAAGACGGAAAGACCCCGUGAACCUUUACUAUAGCUUGACACUGAACAUUGAGCCUUGAUGUGUAGGAUAGGUGGGAGGCUUUGAAGCGUGGACGCCAGUCUGCGUGGAGCCAACCUUGAAAUACCACCCUUUAAUGUUUGAUGUUCUAACGUUGGCCCCUGACCGGGGUUGCGGACAGUGUCUGGUGGGUAGUUUGACUGGGGCGGUCUCCUCCCAAAGCGUAACGGAGGAGCACGAAGGUUAGCUAAUCCUGGUCGGACAUCAGGAGGUUAGUGCAAUGGCAUAAGCUAGCUUGACUGCGAGCGUGACGGCGCGAGCAGGUGCGAAAGCAGGUCAUAGUGAUCCGGUGGUUCUGAAUGGAAGGGCCAUCGCUCAACGGAUAAAAGGUACUCCGGGGAUAACAGGCUGAUACCGCCCAAGAGUUCAUAUCGACGGCGGUGUUUGGCACCUCGAUGUCGGCUCAUCACAUCCUGGGGCUGAAGUAGGUCCCAAGGGUAUGGCUGUUCGCCAUUUAAAGUGGUACGCGAGCUGGGUUUAGAACGUCGUGAGACAGUUCGGUCCCUAUCUGCCGUGGGCGCUGGAGAAUUGAGGGGGGCUGCUCCUAGUACGAGAGGACCGGAGUGGACGCAUCACUGGUGUUCGGGUUGUCAUGCCAAUGGCACUGCCCGGUAGCUAAAUGCGGAAGAGAUAAGUGCUGAAAGCAUCUAAGCACGAAACUUGCCCCGAGAUGAGUUCUCCCUGAGACUUUAAGUCUCCUGAAGGAACGUUGAAGACGACGACGUUGAUAGGCCGGGUGUGUAAGCGCAGCGAUGCGUUGAGCUAACCGGUACUAAUGAACCGUGAGGCUUAACCUUACAACGCCGAAG
rnacentral:rRNA from 1 species